CUGUUGCUCCGGCUGUUGGUGGUCCACCUGGCUGACUGCUAGCGCUAUAGCUGGCUCCUGCUCCGGCUAGCAGUGAACCUGACCAGCUGCUGCCACGGUGUCAGCCUCCUGCCCCGGCCUAGCUAGCUGUCGGUGAACCCGGCUAGCUUUUGCGGUACUAGCCUCCUGCUGUAGUCGGUUUUGACCAUCAACAUGACCGCUGCGGUUGCCCUCGUCGCCGCUUUUGGAGGGUUUUCUUACUUGUUUCAAAGUGUCACGCAGCUCUUCCUUCUUUUUGACAUGUUUGCACUGAAAUGAUGUCAAGAAAUUGUCCGGCAAUCGCUGUCACUGAGACAGGCCUCCGAAAGAGGGACCUGCACUGACACACACACACUGCUGCUAACUCAAAGAAGAGAAGACCCUGCUGAUGGGUUGAGGACCUCCACAGCCCCGUCCGGCCUUCUCCAUGCUCUUGAGACUGUGCUGGGAGACACAGCAAACCUUCUGGC